rnacentral:rRNA from 1 species
UACGGGGGGGGGCAAGCGUUGUUCGGAAUUACUGGGCGUAAAGGGUGCGUAGGCGGUCCGCUAAGUUGGAUGUGAAAACUCUGGGCUUAACCCAGAGCCUGCAUUCAAAACUGACGGGCUAGAGUUCUGGAGGGGGUAGCGGAAUUCCUGGUGUAGCGGUGAAAUGCGUAGAUAUCAGGAGGAACACCGGUGGCGAAGGCGGCUACCUGGACAGAAACAUGACGCUGGAGGCAACGAAAGCCUAGGGGAGCAAACAGG